GGGAUGAUGAACCAUUUGCAAGCACUCGCUGACCACUGAUGCCGAGUUUCAUCUGAG
rnacentral:snoRNA from 1 species